rnacentral:rRNA from 1 species
AAAUGUAGGGGGCGAGCGUUGUCCGGAAUGAUUGGGCGUAAAGGGCGCGUAGGCGGCCGCUUAAGUCUGGAGUGAAAGUCUUGUUUUCAAGAUGGGUAUUUCUUUGGAUACUGGGGGGCUUGAGUGCGGGAGAGGUUAUCGGAAUUCCCGAUGUAGCGGCUAAAGGCGUAGAGAUCGGGAGGAACACCAGUGGCGAAGGCGGGUAACUGGACUGCAACUGACGCUGAGGCGCGAAAGUGUGGGGAGCAAACAGGAUUAGAUACCCUGGUAGUCCACACUGUAAACGAUGAAUGCUAGGUGUAAGAGGUAUCGACCCCUUUUGUGCCGGAGUCAACACAAUAAGCAUUCCGCCUGGGGAGUACGGCCGCAAGGUUGAAACUCAAAGGAAUUGACGGGG